GACAGAUCCUUUCCCAACCGGGAGACUCCAUCGCAUCCCUGGAGGGGGUACAGAAGUUUUCUCAAAUUCCUAUUGCAAGCUAAUUGGACCGAUUUGUAGAUACUGUCAAUUAUAUUACAUACCGAUGGGAAGUCUGCAAUCCUGAACAAGCCCUCCUGCAAGAGGUAUCCCUCUGAAGAAGGUCAGAGGAAAGAAGAUGAAAAAAUUUAUAAAGACUUUAGAUAAUGGAUAACACAAGAAAUUAUGUUAAAUGUAUAUAUGUGAUUGAUCAUGCGUGAAAAAGGUUACCAGCAGAUGGAAAAAUGAUUAGCAAAGG